rnacentral:lncRNA from 1 species
UUUUUUUUUUUUUUUUUUUUAUCAAAGUAAUCUUUGAAAAAUGUUUGAUUUUGCUCAGCUCCAGAUUCCUCAAUUAAAAAUAUGUAAUUCAAUGGCUUCCUCAAAUAGUUAUUGUGGAGUUAGAUGAGGUAAUCUAUGUGAGAUGGUCAUGCGCAUAGGAAACUCUGGUGCAUAAGGGUGUUGAUAGUGUUAUGCAUUGCUCAAUUAUUAUUUUAUCAUUGAUCCUCAGUAUUGAAGAGAUUCCUACAGGCAUGAAAAAGAAAACUCCAAGAGACAUUGCUCAAUUAUUUUUUUAUCAUUGAUCCUCGGUAUUGAAGAGAUUCCUACAGGCAUGAAAAAGAAAACUCCAAGAGACACUGGUGGACUGAGGCAGUAAAAGGCUCUUGACAGGCUAAAUAUUUUCUUAACCAUUUCAGCACAGCCUGUAACUUCACUUCUGGAGGAUGCUAUAGAACAUCAAACAUUCCGAUUGUUUGUUCGGCUCAGCUCUGAUCUUGCUGACUCAUUAAGCACUUGGCAAGUCGACAACAUUGCUGGCUGUGAGUUCUUAGUUCAAGUUACCCUCCUGAAGCUCUGAGGAUGGUAGUCAUUGAAGGAUUUCAAAACUUAAAUUUGACCAUAAGGUAAGCCUUCAGGACGACUGUUAGCUCAGAUGUCCCUUUGAAUGUGACCUUCAGUCAGAAGCAUCUUAAGAGUUAGGACUAGGUUACUGUCCAAAGUUUAGCAUUCAAAUUACGUUGGUGUGUACAUGGAGAACACUAAAGGAGUCACUUGGCCCCGGUGGUGACAAACUGCACAUAAGGGAGAUUAGGCUACUGAGUGAUCAUAAACAUGAUCAUUUUACUAUAUUCAUUUCCAUAAUUGGCCAGAGACUUUUAUUAAUUAUUAAAUGAAUGAGGCAUCUGACCUUCACUGGUAGUUUCCAUUCUGGCUGCUUUUAGGGAUCAAUAUUAGUCACCUAUAGUUAAGGAUACAGGAUGAAGAAAGGCCUCUAGCCUGUUAGUCAAGUGAGCCACAUUGGUAGCCAAUAAAUUUUCUUUAGUGCCUAGGACUGGACUCAGUUGGUUCUUCAACCCAUGGGGAACCAGGAUACUGGUACAGGUGAGCAAGAAGUUGGCAAAGAGUGACAAACAGACAUUGACACAGAGAGAGUGCUGUAUCUGAACGUAAUGUCUCAAAGUGAGCAUCAGACUUAUAUUACAGAAGAAAACAAAGAAGUUAAGUGACACAUCAGCCAAGGUACAUUGAAGUUAUCUGACAUAAAACAGAGAAAUGCAUACAUAAAGACUGGCAGGAACCAGGCAGAGUUUACAACUGAGGUACUAUCAGCCCUAUCUAAAGUCAGCUAUUGAUAGGAUCCAGGUGAAAGGGCGAAUAUGCCCAGGUGCAAUUCUGGUCUAUUGAAUAACCCAGCACCAGAGUGUUUCCACUCUUGCUAACCUUUUCAUUAAUAAUACAAUACUCUAGUUCCUCCUUAAACCAUAACCCUCCUUGUUCCUAGACAACUGUAAAUUCCUGAAUAUGGGAGUGACUCGGCUGUAAUUCUAAGUUUACUUUGUUGAACUAGCCCUGAGAUUUUUAGUUCUUAUCCAGUAAAAUACUGCAAGAAAGCAUGCAAGACCCUCCACAUUUUCGCAGGGACAAAUCUGGUUAUGGGGCACCAGAGACUCUUCAGGAGACAAGUUUCUGUGGAACAAUUUGCCUCAGGACUGCAGCCAAGCUUUUGGACUUGCCACUCAGACUUCACUGGAGUGAGUGUGGACUUUAGGAAAUAGUAUAGAUUUGCACUAUAUGGCUCCCUAGUGGUUGGUUGGAAACAUGGUUAGUCUGCUCAAAUAACUGAGAGCCAAAGUAAGCAACAUGCCCGUUCUGGGCCAGAAUCGCGUAAGUAGACAGAACAAGCUCUUCAUUUGCAGUCCAAUAACCAUCCACUUUCAAGAAGGAUGUUCUUCUGUCUUGGAUAGGCCAGUAAGAAGUGCUGAGGCAUUGCCAAAAGGUCCCCAGUGUCUUAAGAAAAAUUCUGUUUUACUUCCAAGUAUUGCUAUUUGGUGAUGAAUACAUUGUGCCCAGCCAGCACUAAGCAAAGAACUAGAAGGCUGUUAACUGAAUCUUUCAUUCUAUCUCAAAAUCAUCUCCAUUUAAAAAUUUACUUUUAGUUUUAAUUAGUAUGUGUGAAUGUGCACAUGUGAUUGCAGGUGCCUGCAGAACCUGGAAGAGGACAUGCAGUCCCCUGAAGCUGGAGUUACAGGAGGUUGUGUGUUAUCUUAUGUGGGUGUUGGGAACUGGAUUCAGGUCUGCUGUAAGAUCAGUACUUGCUUUCGACUGCUGAGCCAUUUCUCCAGUCCCAUCGUCUUAAAUCUCCUUUUCUUCUCCCACUUUGAUUCGUUCUUAAAGCCAUAUAAUUUUAGAGCUGAAAAGCUACAUGGGGUUAGUUUUAGCCCCACUUAUAAAUUAUACCCUUUUCCUUUCAUGCCAUGCC